GGCUAUGUAGCUCAGUUGGUUAGAGCACCGCACUCAUAAUGCGGCACUCAUAAUGCGGGGGUCACAAGUUCAAGUCUCGUCAUAGCCACCA
rnacentral:tRNA from 1 species